UACGUAGGUGGCGAGCGUUGUCCGGAUUUACUGGGCGUAAAGAGCGCGCAGGCGGUCGUUCAAGUCGCGUGUGAAAGCCCCGGGCUUAACCUGGGAAUGGCAUUUGGGACUGCAAGGCUUGAGUGCGGCAGAGGAGACUGGAAUUCCUGGUGUAGCGGUGAAAUGCGUAGAUAUCUGGAGGAACACCGGUGGCGAAGGCGGCAUCCUGGACCGGUAUUGACACUGAGGCGCGAAAGCCAGGGGAGCAAACGGG
rnacentral:rRNA from 1 species